UCUACGGGGGGCGGCAGUGGGGAAUAUUGCGCAAUGGGCGAAAGCCUGACGCAGCAACGCCGCGUGAGUGAUGAAGGCUUUCGGGUCGUAAAGCUCUGUCGAGGGGAAAGAAGUGUACUUUGGCUAAUAUCCAUUGUACUUGACGGUACCCCUAAAGGAAGCACCGGCUAACUCCGUGCCAGCAGCCGCGGUAAUACGGGGGGUGCAAGCGUUGUUCGGAAUUAUUGGGCGUAAAGCGCGUGUAGGCGGUUUGAUUAGUCUGAUGUGAAAGCCCUGGGCUCAACCCAGGAAGUGCAUUGGAAACUGUCAGACUUGAAUACGGGAGAGGGUAGUGGAAUUCCUAGUGUAGGAGUGAAAUCCGUAGAUAUUAGGAGGAACACCGGUGGCGAAGGCGGCUACCUGGACCGAUAUUGACGCUGAGACGCGAAAGCGUGGGUAGCAAACAGGAUUAGA
rnacentral:rRNA from 1 species